rnacentral:misc_RNA from 1 species
CGCAACUUGCGCCCUCUGGUAUUCCGGAGGGCAUGCCUGUUUGAGUGUCAUGUAGUUUCAAUCCCCCGGGUUUCCGGGAAGAUUGGAUUUGGGUGUUGCCAUCCGGCUCGCCUUAAAUGAAUUAGUGGAAAGACUAAUGUAGUCGAGAGUAAUAAGUUUCUCUUGAUCAAGUUUGUCUCCGCUCAUAACUCGUGGAAACACAUUUAUGACUCUGACCUCAAAUCAGGUAGGACUACCCGCUGAACUUAA